rnacentral:rRNA from 1 species
AGUGAACGCUGGCGGUAGGCCUAACACAUGCAAGUCGAACGGCAGCACAGUAAGAGCUUGCUCUUACGGGUGGCGAGUGGCGGACGGGUGAGGAAUACAUCGGAAUCUACUUUUUCGUGGGGGAUAACGUAGGGAAACUUACGCUAAUACCGCAUACGACCUACGGGUGAAAGCGGGGGAUCUUCGGACCUUGCGCGAUUGAAUGAGCCGAUGUCGGAUUGGCUAGUUGGCGGGGUAAAGGCCCACCAAGGCGACGAUCCGUAGCUGGUCUGAGAGGAUGAUCAGCCACACUGGAACUGAGACACGGUCCAGACUCCUACGGGAGGCAGCAGUGGGGAAUAUUGGACAAUGGGCGCAAGCCUGAUCCAGCCAUACCGCGUGGGUGAAGAAGGCCUUCGGGUUGUAAAGCCCUUUUGUUGGGAAAGAAAAGCAGCAGGUUAAUACCCCGCUGUUCUGACGGUACCCAAAGAAUAAGCACCGGCUAACUUCGUG